GGAAAUAGCAAUAAAUAAAUUAAAAAUCUAUAUGUUUGAAAAUAAUUAAGUGAUGUAGGGAAGAAUUAAGCAGAAAAGGGGAAUGGAGAGAGUAAGGGUAUAAUUUUAAGUAGAAUGGUCAGGGGAGACCUCACCAGGAAUAUGAUUCUUAAGCAAAAGGAGAAGGAGUGAGUUGUGUGGGACAGUAUAUGUGAGUAAGGGUACAUUGAAAGCAUAAGAGCAUUCUAAGCCCAGGCUUCUUAACCUGGACCCCAUGAACCCUCCCUUCCAGAGGUCAAUGGGUAGAACUCAGGGGGUCAGCACCUUUUAUGAGAAAAAGAAUUGCAUCUUUAUUUUCACUAAUUAAAACAUAGCAGUUCUUCAAUUAUGAAUGCAGAUAACAAAUCAGUGAUAUUAGCAGCACCUGUGACACUGCUGCUAGUAAAAAUCACAGAUAUUUUCAUAUCACAUUACAGUUGUUGAAAAUACCUUAAAAUAUUACAUUCAUCACUACCUCAACAUUAUGCUCCAAUUUAAUGAAUUAAUAAAGCACAUAUAUUACUAUAUUAUACAU
rnacentral:lncRNA from 1 species